ensembl:lncRNA
UUGAAUUAUGACGUGAUUCUAGCUAUUAAAACGGCAGACCGCUGGGGGGGGGGGGCUACACUAACUUGAGAAAAAAACAUGUAACUCAGCUUCACGUAAAUCAGGCAUCAAUGUCAGAUUCACUGUGAUAUCCUAUUUACUCACCUGCAUGUAAGGUUGGAGGAUUUUGGGCCCGGGAUGCGUUCUGAAUGGCACGCUAAGCCCUAUGGGCCCUGGUCUAAAAUAGUGUACUAUAUAGGGAACAGGGCCCUGGUCUAAAGUAGUGCACUAUAUAGGGAAUAGGGCCCUGGUCUAAAAUAAUGUACUAUAUAGGGCCCUGGGCCCUGGUCUAAAAUAGUGUACUAUAUAGGGAUUAGGGCCCUGGUCUAAAAUAGUGUACUAUAUAGGGAAUAGGGCCCUGGUCUAAAAUAGUGUACUAUAUAGGGCCCUGGUCUAAAGUAGUGUACUAUAUAGGGAAUAGGGUGUCAUUUGGAACAGAGCUCCAGUGUAAAUAGAUAUGUUUGUGCUGGCUGAGUUGCAUUAGGCCCUGUGAUUUGGUGUGUGUCCCCCCCGGUGUGUAUGUAUGCUAGGGUUUGCAUGGUGUUCCUAUUGCCCUACAGUCACGCAGUAUCCUUUUGCCAAACACCCGGAAUUAUUGUUGGGAGAGGGAGUGAGAGAGUCAGGGUGCGAGAGUGCCAUCAUUUAAGUCUUAGAAAAUUGAACCAAGAUAUUAUUUUUAAGCAAUAAGGUCCCGAGGGGGGUUGUGGUAUAUGGCCAAUAUACCACGGUUAAGGGCUUUUCUUAUGCACGACACAAUGCGGAGUGCCUGGAAACAGCCCUUAGCCGUGUUAUAUUGCCCAUAUACCACAAACCCCCAAGGUGCCUUAUUGCUAUUAUAAACUAGGUGGUUCGAGCCCUGAAUGCUGAUUGACCCGACCAUAUGGGGUAUAUCAGACCGGAUACAACGGUUAUGACAACAUGUAUUUUUACUGCUCUAAUUACAUUGGUAACCAGUUUAUAAUAGAGCCCGAGGUGUGGUGUAUAUGGCCAAUAUACCACGGCUAAGGGCUGUGUCCAGGCACUCAGCGUUGCAUCGUACCGGGUACCAUUUGUGAUGGCCACACGUACCGGGUACCAUUUGUGAUGGCCACACGUACCGGGUACCAUUUGUGAUGGCCACACGUACCGGGUACCAUUUGUGAUGGCCACACGUACCGGGUACCAUUUGUGAUGGCCACACGUACCGGGUAUUGAUAUCUAUUAUUCACUGUCGCAUUAGAAAAGUGUACAGCUCCCCUUAUUCUUCUCAUAAGGUGCAUUUUAAAUGACACUUUGUUCCUCUUAGUGCACUCGUUUCGCCACCUAGGGAGCCUCUGGCCAGAGGUAGAGGCCACUCGUUUCGCCGCCUAGGGAGUCUCUGGCCAGAGGUAGAGGCCACUCGUUUCGCCGCCUAGGGAGUCUCUGGCCAGAGGUAGAGGCCACUCGUUUCGCCGCCUAGGGAGUCUCUGGCCAGAGGUAGAGGCCACUCGUUUCGCCGCCUAGGGAGUCUCUGGCCAGAGGUAGAGGCACUAUAUCAGACAAGGUGUCAUGCAUCUAACGACAACCAGGGUUUGGCAAGGGAUAAGUGUUUUUUUAUUUUAUUUUUUAGACCGUGACGAACCUAACCGCAACAGAAAUUAAGUUCAGAUGUAUUUGCACAGACACUUCAUGCACACAUGCAUACAACGCCAGCAGACUGCACACGGCUCACACGGAUGAGUGCUACACAAGGAGAAUCAACUUCCAUUAUCCACCUUGUUGAAGGAACGUAAUUGCAUGUUUUCUUUCUGUGCUAUAUUGGGUUUUCAAUGCGGUAUGUUCACUCAAUGUUUUGCCACUUCCUUAUCGGCACUAUUGAGAUUAUGUGCUUCGAUUUUUAUUUUUAAGAAUACACCUACCCACAAUGCAUCACAUUCACAGCAUCCUUUAAAAUCUCUAUUUUUUAUUUAUUAUUUUUUUUAGGAGAAAAUGACAUUUUAAGUUUUGACAUUUUUUUCUUGAGGAAGUGCAGGGGUGAGUACUGUCUGGUAAUAUGCUCAGUUGAAAAAUAUACAGGAUAAAAACAUUAUAGUGAUUUCAUGUGGAGAGUUGGAAAAUAAACACAUUCGUUAGAUUAGCAUUGAAAUCGUGACCAUCAACUGGAUGGAAAAACGUUUCAAAUUCAUAGAAUGAAAAUGUAAAAGUUGUUUGCUGAGCAGUUAGCUGAAAUCCAUUGUUUAUUUCCCACUUUGUUGGUGAACUGCUUACAUUCACUUUGUCAUUUUCAAAUUAAAAAAAAAAAUAAAAAUCAAACUCUUCCACAUGUCAAUUAUUACGUUGUCUUUUAACCUUUUUUUGUUUUAUCUUCAACCUAGGUAUUAUGGAAGCCUUUUCUCCUUUCUGCUACAUGACUGAAAAUAUGGUUAGAUUGAUAUGCCCUUAAGACACAGAUCUAGGAUCAGCUUGCCCUCCUUUAAAUCCUGACCUGUAACAUUUUAAUGGGGCAAAAGCAAAACUGAUCAUAGAUCAGUCUCUGGGUUGAGUGGAGCCUAAACAGUUUAGUGGUGACAGUUUGACUGACCGGCACUGUGUGAGGUAGCGAUAGAUGUACAAUUUGUAUGUCCUCAUCAGUCACAGCUUGUUCUGUGGAUCCACUGUUUCCCCUGGUUGAGCAGAACCAAACUGGUUUGAGGUAAACAAAAUCAGAAUUUACAGAGCUGUUUUUAUUUCAAACGUAAUGCCUAAACUUUCAUUUUGGAAGGACAUCUGUAACUCAUCUUUAAAAAAAAAUAUAUAUAUAUAUAUAUAUAUAUAUUUUACUUGAUAUGCUAGCUAUGAGGACCCUAAUCAUUGCACAUGUUUAUAUAGAAAAUCAUCCCCUAUGGUUAUAUUGUCCUUCCUGACGUGAUGUCUCGGUAGGUUGACCCUGUGAGGAUGCGGGCCAUGACUUUGUACAAUGUCAUAGCUUGUUAUUAUGUUCAAUCUGCAAAAUUGUGUUUUUUCAUGGUCUGCAAAAUGGUGAUUUUUCAUGGUCUGCAAAAAUGGUGAUUUUUCAUGGUCUGCAAAAAUGGUGAUUUUUCAUGGUCUGCAAAAAUGGUGAUUUUUCAUGGUCUGCAAAAAUUGUGAUUUUUCAUGGUCUGCAAUGGUUACGGACACGUUGCCCUUUGGUUGACAUGCAAAAUGUAUUGACGUUGGUGAGAGACUAAGCUUGUCAUUGAUCUAACAUGGACAGUAAGUAACAGUAAUAGGCUAUUAUAGGAAUCUAUGCACUUUGGUCCUCUAAAGGGAAAUGGUUGUCCACAGAACAAGUGUUCCAAACUGACAUUUUGAGACUAAAUAAAUCUUGGAAAACAUGAAAAAAUUUGCUAAAGAACUUUUGACUCUACAUCACUAACAAGUGGGAGGAGCAUUUAUAAAAUCAGAAGUCCUCUCCUUGUUUUUUUUUCUCUCGACUUCUGCGUGCAGUCUACCAACAGACUUCCAGAAAAGUAUAAUAAAAAUAAAAACACAAAAUAAACAAAUAUAUUUAUAUUUAUGAAGAAAAACAAGUGCCAAUCCUGACCAAUUAAAGACUUGAGGGUGAUUUACAAGUAACUUUUGACUUGAUUCAUUUAAUUUUCUUAAUAUUUCCUUGAAUGUGCACACGUUUUGUGCAAAAACAUUGCUGCUCUAUUUUCCUCGUCUUAUAGUUCCAUGAUGUGGUGUCUCUGAAAGUGGCAUUCUCUACUGCUUUUGCACUGUGGGAUUGGGUCAGAACAGUCAUUUUAAAUCGGCAAAAAAAAUAACUAAUUUAUUCCAUCAUGCUGAUCCGUCUAACUAAAUAUUGAUGCUCUCUUUCUUUUUUGUACAGUAUAAUGCAUUGUUGAUUUCACUGUGCAGACCUCACACUGCAGCUGGGGGACAGACAGCCUAGACAUUCGUUAGAAAGAUGCAGGGCCAUCAAGUGUAAUUUUAGCCUGAGGCAAAGACUGCACUGCACAUUAUUAGGGCCCUGAUUUUUUCCUAGUCAGGUCACAUGGUCUGGAAAAGCUCCCGGCCCUGUUUAUCAGGUCAGUUAUCGUAUCAGGCCAAUACAGGGCCACGUUCAGUAGCCAAACGUUGCAAAUGGAAAUGCCACAAAUGGAGAGCCAACGUUGUUCCAUAUUUAACAUGUCAUGUUUGUUUUUUUACAUAGAAAUAUUUCUAUCUGAACGUUUGAAAAAUGUUGCGUUCUUGCUGAACGUGCCCCGAGGUUUCUCCACCUAAACUACCAUGUUUGCACAUAAUGAGUCAAACCCAUCUUAUCACAAAGAACUAAACAGCCAAUUCAAAAUGGACACUAACCGAAGUUUAAAUAAAAAAAAUAAAAAAAUGUAAAAAAUUUUCUUUCUUGAUUUUGAGCAGCUAUACCAUUACAUGGAUAUGGAUGGUUCUAGAAUGUUUCAGUGGCAUAAUCUUCUUGGCUGUCCAGACCCAGUCAAUCAACCAAAACAACCAAUCACUUGUCCUGAGACUUCUCUCAGCUAUUUCUUGAUUUAGCACAAGGACUCAGAGACACUUCUCUUGAGAUGGGAAGCUAAAUGGAAGCUACGUUAUUGGCUGAGAAUGAACAACCUAACAAGUAAUGCAAUAAAUAUUCUCCAAAAGUCGGCCAUCCCAAGAGGUUUAACCUGCGUCCCGAAGUGCACCCUAUUCCCUAUUUAAUGAACAACUUUUGACCAGGAGUCCAUGAAGUUCUGGUCAAAAAAUAGUGCACAAUAUACCCCCACAGUGGAGGUGUAAUAAUACCCAUAAAACCUAGUGGUCAAACGGAAAUAAUUCUAAUAGUGUUUUUUCCAACCAUUAGAUUUUUUUCCCCAUAGGUGAUUUUUAGAAACACUUAAAAUAAGGGCUGUGUUUUGUGUAGGCUUUACCCCGAUGUGAUGUGUUGAUAACCGUGUAGAUCUCUCUAGGACAAGGUGACUCAAUAUUAUUCGGCUCUCUUUUUACUCACAGAAUUGAAAAUACUUAAAAGUAGACAUCAUGCAAGACUACAAAUCCCUGCAUGCUUCUCCAUGUCAUCUCUAGCUGACAUCUUUGCUAACAGGUAUUGUGUCAAUUUAAAACGUGCACAAGACAGUUCACAGAAUUGUACAUUUUAAUUAAAGAAAUGUAGCUAAUUUAUUCAUUAAUCCAUUUAGCUAGCAUUAGAUUAGAAUCCAGAGAUUCUUACCUUUGCCUUGAUACGUCAGUCAUCAUGGUAUUUGUAGUUCUUUAUAAUAGCCACAUUAGCAGCUAAUUAGCAUUUCGUUUUGGUGGGAGAGUACAGGCAAACAUAAUAAGUCACCUUGUCCGGUAGAGAUUUGAGCGGUUAUCAAAACAUCACGUCAGGGUAGCCCACUGAGAUGACUGCAGGGAUUUGGGUCACGGCCAGGGUAAGCCUACACAGCCCAUGUUUUAAGUGUUCCUAAAAAUAAAUAAAAAACUGGGAGAAAUGGAUGAUGGGAAAAAAUUGGUGCCAUUUCCCUGUUUGACCACUAUGUUUUAUAGGCAUUAUGACUCAUACUGUGGUACAUUUUAUAGAGGGAAUAGUGGCAUUUUGGGAGGGAGCUUAAGACUUCUUUUUCAGGUGUUUGCCCUCUUCAAGAGGGCAAUUAACAGAGAUGACUGGUCAACAGUUUCCUAGAACAAAUCUGGGAUGCAGGAAGGUGAAAUUUACAUUAAAAAAAUGAUAAUCAAGUGUCCAAGUGGAACUAUGUGUAUGAUUUAUAAUUUGGGGGGGUGCUUAUAUUUUGUUCUCUUACACACAAGUGUGUAAUGAAAAUAUAUAUAUUUUGUUUGUUGCAUAUCUGACUCCCACUGAGACGACUGCAGGGAUUCAUUUGGGUCACGGCCAGGGUCGCCAUUGUACAAUGCCCCUGUAAAUAUGUCCAUUAGCUGGAGGAAUCAUCCAUAUUUUUUAAUGACUGCUGAAAUGCUUUUUAAGGCAUAGUAAAGGGAUAGGAGUUUUUCCCUUGACCUAAUGACAAGGAGAAACUGUCUGUGUCCCAAAUGGGCACUUAUAUACCCUAUAUAGUGCACUACUUUUGACCAGAGACCUAUUAGGUCCUGGUCAAAAAUGGCGAACCACAUAGGGAAUAGGGUGCCAUUUGCUCUAGUGUCUGUUUCCCUGUCAGGCCCUUUGGUCAGGAAGAACUCCUAGGCAUGGAUUUAAAAAAUAUAUAUAAUUAAAAUACAUUUUGAAAUGGGAUUUUUUUUUUGUCUUCUGGCCUAGAUUGUGUAAAUGUGUAUAACUGAGACAAAGGUGUCUGAAAAUCCCAAGCCACGCCUUAGUGCUUGGCUUUGUCAAAUAAAUGAUGCUAUCUAGGCUAUAAUUGUUUACAAUGCUACAUGUUUAUAAAGUGUUUUUUCAUAUGUCAUAACUGACCAGUCCUGAUGUAUUCUCUGGUCCUCUCAUUUCGCUCUCUUUCAUCAAUGUAUUUAUUUACACAACAAAUAUUUUUAUUCUUUUUUUUUUUGCUUAUGAUAACCCAUAUUAUACUGUGACUUGACAUUACCGACGGUAUGAAUGAGUGACUGAUACACUUCAACUGAACAUGACACACAAACAUGAACACAGAAACAAACAAAUGCAUUAACAAAUAUUAGAAAUGUAUAAAAAAAAUAAACUUGUCCAGUGGAAACUGUACAAAACAAAUCCCCGAGAAAUAAAAUGUUGCAACCCUUA